rnacentral:rRNA from 1 species
ACUCCCAAACCCAAUGUGAACGUUACCAAACUGUUGCCUCGGCGGGAUCUCUGCCCCGGGUGCGUCGCAGCCCCGGACCAAGGCGCCCGCCGGAGGACCAACCAAAACUCUUUUUGUGUACCCCCUCGCGGGUUUUUUAUAAUCUGAGCCUUCUCGGCGCCUCUCGUAGGCGUUUCGAAAAUGAAUCAAAACUUUCAACAACGGAUCUCUUGGUUCUGGCAUCGAUGAAGAACGCAGCGAAAUGCGAUAAGUAAUGUGAAUUGCAGAAUUCAGUGAAUCAUCGAAUCUUUGAACGCACAUUGCGCCCGCCAGUAUUCUGGCGGGCAUGCCUGUCCGAGCGUCAUUUCAACCCUCGAACCCCUCCGGGGGGUCGGCGUUGGGGAUCGGCCCUGCCUUUGGCGGUGGCCGUCUCCGAAAUACAGUGGCGGUCUCGCCGCAGCCUCUCCUGCGCAGUAGUUUGCACACUCGCAUCGGGAGCGCGGCGCGUCCACAGCCGUUAAACACCCAACUUCUGAAAUGUUGACCUCGGAUCAGGUAGGAAUACCCGCUGAACUUAAGCAUAUCAAUAAGCCGGAAGGAAA